rnacentral:rRNA from 1 species
GAUGAACGCUGGCGGCGUGCCUAAUACAUGCAAGUCGAGCGAACAGACGAGGAGCUUGCUCCUCUGACGUUAGCGGCGGACGGGUGAGUAACACGUGGAUAACCUACCUAUAAGACUGGGAUAACUUCGGGAAACCGGAGCUAAUACCGGAUAAUAUAUUGAACCGCAUGGUUCAAUAGUGAAAGACGGUUUUGCUGUCACUUUUAGAUGGAUCCGCGCCGCAUUAGCUAGUUGGUAAGGUAACGGCUUACCAAGGCAGCGAUGCGUAGCCGACCUGAGAGGGUGAUCGGCCACACUGGAACUGAGACACGGUCCAGACUCCUACGGGAGGCAGCAGUGGGGAAUCUUCCACAAUGGGCGAAAGCCUGACGGAGCAACGCCGCGUGAGUGAUGAAGGUCUUCGGAUCGUAAAACUCUGUUAUUAGGGAAGAACAGAUGUGUAAGUAACUAUGCACGUCUUGACGGUACCUAAUCAGAAAGCCACGGCUAACUACGUG